rnacentral:rRNA from 1 species
GUAGUCCACGCCGUAAACGAUGAGUGCUAGGUGUUGGGGGGUACCACCCUCAGUGCCGAAGCUAACGCAUUAAGCACUCCGCCUGGGGAGUACGGUCGCAAGACUGAAACUCAAAGGAAUUGACGGGGGCCCGCACAAGCAGUGGAGCAUGUGGUUUAAUUCGAAGCAACGCGAAGAACCUUACCAAGACUUGACAUCCCAUUGACCGGAUUAGAGAUAGUCCUUCCCUUCGGGGCAAUGGUGACAGGUGGUGCAUGGUUGUCGUCAGCUCGUGUCGUGAGAUGUUGGGUUAAGUCCCGCAACGAGCGCAACCCCUAGAUUGUGUUGCUACCAUUUAGUUGAGCACUCACAAUCGACUGCCGGUGACAAACCGGA